rnacentral:rRNA from 1 species
GACAGAGGGUGCAAACGUUGUUCGGAAUUACUGGGCGUAAAGCGUGCGUAGACGGUUAUGUAAGUCGAGUGUGAAAGCCCCGGGCUCAACCUGGGAAUUGCAUUCGAGACUGCAUAGCUAGGGUUCGGAAGAGGGAAGCGGAAUUUCCGGUGUAGCGGUGAAAUGCGUAGAUAUCGGAAGGAACACCAGUGGCGAAAGCGGCUCACUGGACCGGAACUGACGCUGAGGCGCGAAAGCGUGGGGAGCAAACAGG